rnacentral:rRNA from 1 species
GACGAACGCUGGCGGCGUGCUUAACACAUGCAAGUCGAACGGAAAGGCCCUGCUUUUGUGGGGUGCUCGAGUGGCGAACGGGUGAGUAACACGUGAGUAACCUGCCCUUGACUUUGGGAUAACUUCAGGAAACUGGGGCUAAUACCGGAUAGGAGCUCCUGCUGCAUGGUGGGGGUUGGAAAGUUUCGGCGGUUGGGGAUGGACUCGCGGCUUAUCAGCUUGUUGGUGGGGUAGUUGCUUACCAAGGCUUUGACGGGUAGCCGGCCUGAGAGGGUGACCGGCCACAUUGGGACUGAGAUACAGCCCAGACUCCUACGGGAGGCAGCAGUGGGGAAUAUUGCACAAUGGGCGGAAGCCUGAUGCAGCAACGCCGCGUGCGGGAUGACGGCCUUCGGGUUGUAAACCGCUUUCGCCUGUGACGAAGCGUGAGUGACGGUAAUGGGUAAAGAAGCACCGGCUAACUACGUG